CACGUAGGCACCAAGCGUUGUCCGGAUUUAUUGGGCGUAAAGAGCUCGUAGGCGGUUCGGUAAGUCGGGUGUGAAAACUUUGGGCUCAACCCAAAGCGUGCACUCGAUACUGCCGUGACUGGAGUUCGGUAGGGGAGCGGGGAAUUCCUAGUGUAGCGGUGAAAUGCGCAGAUAUUAGGAGGAACACCGGUGGCGAAGGCGCCGCUCUGGGCCGAUACUGACGCUGAGGAGCGAAAGCGUGGGUAGCAAA
rnacentral:rRNA from 1 species